rnacentral:rRNA from 1 species
AUUCCAGCUCCAAUAGCGUAUAUUAAAGUUGUUGCAGUUAAAACGCUCGUAGUCGGAUUUCGGGGCGGGCCGACCGGUCUGCCGAUGGGUAUGCACUGGCCGGCGCGUCCUUCCACCCGGAGACCGCGCCUCCUCUUAACUGAGCGGGCGCGGGAGACGGGUCUUUUACUUUGAAAAAAUCAGAGUGUUUCAAGCAGGCAGUCGCUCUUGCAUGGAUUAGCAUGGGAUAAUGAAAUAGGACUGUGGUUCUAUUUUGUUGGUUUCUAGAGCUGCAGUAAUGAUUAAUAGGGAUAAUUGGGGGCAUUCGUAUUAUUACGUCAGAGGUGAAAUUCUUGGAUUGUAAUACGACGAACUACUGCGAAAGCAUUUGCCAAGGAUGUUUUCAUCA